CUGGACAGUUGCUUGAAGGCAUUGGUUAUGGCUUCUCACAAGGUGCAUAAGUGGUUGACUCCAAGGGACAGGAUAAGAGGUCAUAUCUAGGCACAGGUCUCAGACUUCCCCCCAGGUUGGUGCUGGCAGUGAGCCUGGGGGUGGCUGUGGCAGCAGCUUCACCCUAUCAGCUUUCUGGGCACAUCCACCACCAGGCAGCACCUGAGAGGGAACAGACUCCGCAGUGAGCCGAGUGAGAUUGAAGAGGAUCAUAAAGAAAAUAUAUAUCCCCCUCCCUGGCCUCGCUCCCUCCUCCUGCCGCACACUUGCCUCCUCUUUGUCUGUUCCCUCCCCCUCUUUACCGCAGCCCUGUUUUCUUUGUUCCGUCUUUGCUUCUUCCCUCACCUUCAUCUCUGUCAGGCAGGUCUGUCUGUCUGUCUCUCUGAGUUUUCUGGGAUGACGCCUGUCAUGAGCUGCUUCCCAGGCAGCUCCCCAAGGGUCUCUCUCGCUGUCACAUUGUCCUGACUUUCCUUCCAGACUCUGAAUACAGGUCCCCUCCUAUUUGUCCUCUUUCAUGUCCCCCAUCACCAUCUUGUUCCUUACCCUCCCCUCCAUCCUUCCUUCUGCUUCUGUCGCUUGUCUCUUUUAGCUUCUUCCCCCUGAUGCCUGUACACACCCCUGCCCUCCUCUCAUCUUCCCCCACCCACCCCUGCAGGUUCAGAUACUUCAUGUGAAAUCACCUGGAUGGACUCCAGCUGUCAGGUCCCCCCACCCCCCCAGUCCUGUACCCCCUUUCUUCCUGAGAGAUUUAUGGCUUCAACUCGGCCUCCUCUGCAUUCCCCUCAGCCCUGGGCCAGUUCUUUUCAUUACCUGGUGAUUAUCUGGGGGCCCUGGCAUUUCCCCAGCCUCCCACCCUUACCCAGCAGGCUUACAGCGCAGCACAGGGAGAAAGGAUUGCUCUUGGGCCCAGACACAAGGACACAGAGACCCUCCCCCUGUGCCGCCCUCCUUCCCCUCCAGCAGUGCACAUCUGGGAAAAUCCCAGCUCGAGGCAGGGGAAGGCAACCUAGGGUUGUUGGAACAGAUAUAAAUCAAGUACCCAGAUGCCUCUCCCCUACCACCCUAUCCUUACAGCCAUCUUCCAAUGCUGCCUAUUUCCUUUGCUUCUCAGAAUUUGGUCUCGGCAGCCUGAACUGGGCUGGCUUACCAUCAUGUCCAGGAUGAGGAGUUCUUAGCUAAUGUCCUUGAUCCAUAGCUAACUAAGAAGCUUAGGGUAGGGUCAGUGUGGUUUAUCAGACUUGGAGGUGCUGAGCCAUGGGGGAAUUUCAAUUUGCUCUUAGUCCAGUAUUUGGUCUUAGAAUUAAUAUAUGCUCUGUACCUCCAGGUCCAUUGCCAGCCUUCUCCCCCUCCUCUUCAGCUUACCUGCAUCUAAUUUAGCGUUUAAAGGUCUCCACAGGACCAUCGUGUAAAGGCAGUGGUGCCUUGGGACCCAUGGCUUCCUGAUUGCUUGUCUGCUGGGCCCCCAGUCUCUGAGUCAGCUCCUGUCAGGUCAUGGCCUCACCAGUGUUUGAUGGAGGCAGUCCCUUUCUACAGUCCCACAUUUCAGGGAUUCAGACCUAUGCUUUGAAAGUCUCCAGAGCAGAGAAAACAGGAAGCUGUCCAAGCAGGGACUUCCUUAUCUGCUGCUCCAUGGUGCUCAGCCAAUCAGGUUUUCCUGGGACCCCUGGAAAUGUCCUGUUUCUAAACUCUGUGCUGACCAGUCUCCAGCAGAUUUUUUUUCCUGAGGAGAUCUGGACUGAUAAAAAGCUGCACUGAGAAAUGGGAGGAGAGACCAUGGACAAAAAGAAAGAAAAUCCAUUUGUCCGGUCAGCAUCCCCUUUCCAACCCCUUGGUCCAUUACACCCUGUUUCGCUUUAUCCCACUUUGCCUGUCUGGUCUGUUGUGAACUAAGGUAGGGAUGCUUGCUUUUCAGAUUUGUCUCUUUUGAUUUCUCAAGUUGACUGUCUUUUUGUUGUUGUUGUUGUUGUUGUUGUUGUUGUUAAUAGGUCUGUAAUCUCAGCUUUUCAGGGCAUUGAAUCAAGAAGACCACAAAUUAAAGCUAUCUUGAGAGACACAGUGAGUUCAAGGCCAGCCUGGGCAACUAAAUGAGAUAAUCAUGGGGGAGAUAACUCAGUAGUAGAGUGCUCACCUGGUGCAAGGCCCAGUCCCUAGUAAUGAUCUCUUCCUUCCACAAUCGGAUUCUGUGUAAUCUGACACAUUAAGAGAUUCGGCUGUAACCGAAUCUCUUAAUGUGUCAGAUCACGAAUAAAGAAACUAUCCUGAAGUUGUUCUCAAGGGUCUCAGAAACACCAGGUUGCUCACAACCAUACCAAAAAAAAAAAAUACUGUAGGUAGUAUGGAGAACCUGUAUCCUUCUGUGAAGUUAUGGACAUCUGGCUCUUUACCCACAGUGGAAAUCCCUGUAUUGUUGGCACGGAGCAGGGACUCUGUAAGUAGGGAGGGAAAGAAGCAAACCUGUUUUGGUGUAUUUAUAUGGAUCUUGGUUGACAUCCGAUAGACUCUAUAUGGUGUGGGUAGAUAUUUGGUGAGGGUUUUGUGGCCUCGGAAUCCAGCGUCUGUGGGUUAGGAUGGUGCUGUAAUGGUGGCCAGCGCGUGAGUUAAGGAAAAGCUUAUACUUCUGCUUGGGGGACUGGCACAGCAUCCAGUCAAGGACUUGGUUACAGCCAGAAGUGUUUACUUGCAGAAUUACGAUUUCCAGCUUCACUACAGGAACACAAGUCAGCUUCCACCCAGAGGAGUUUUAUUUUAGAUAAGGAGAGCAAGUACUCUCUGAAGGAACAUUCCGGAAGAAUGCAGUGAGAUGAAGUCUACAGGUCGGGGAAAGUUGCCUGGUAAACAGUUUGGUGGGGUCAUUCCUGAGGACUCCUAGGAGGAAAGCUUGAAUAUUUGUCUCCUUCUGUAUGAGCUGAACUCAGCCACUCAGCUUUCUUCCCAACACUUCAGGGAGGCCACCUGGGUCUCACAUCUCUUUCCCCAGAGACAGGUAACAGUCACUACUGAGACGUUUUCUUUCUUCUUCACGUAGUACUAGACUCAGAUUUACCAUAUUUUAGAGCCUAGAUCUGCAUCGGUAUCUGUUUGUUUGUGUAGUUUGGUUUAUUUUUGUCUUUUUU